CAGUCGCCGCGGUAAUACGUAGGUGGCAAGCGUUGUCCGGAAUUAUUGGGCGUAAAGGGCUCGCAGGCGGUUUCUUAAGUCUGAUGUGAAAGCCCCCGGCUCAACCGGGGAGGGUCAUUGGAAACUGGGAAACUUGAGUGCAGAAGAGGAGAGUGGAGUUCCACGUGUAGCGGUGAAAUGCGUAGAGAUGUGGAGGAACACCAGUGGCGAAGGCGACUCUCUGGUCUGUAACUGACGCUGAGGAGCGAAAGCGUGGGGAGCGAACAGGAUUAGAUACCCCUGUAGUCCCUGUCUCUUAUAA
rnacentral:rRNA from 1 species